UACGUAGGGGGCAAGCGUUGUCCGGAUUUAUUGGGCGUAAAGAGCGUGUAGGCGGUUUGGUAGGUCCGCUGUGAAAACUCGAGGCUCAACCUCGAGACGCCGGUGGAAACCAUCAGACUAGAGUCCGGAAGAGGAGAGUGGAAUUCCUGGUGUAGCGGUGAAAUGCGCAGAUAUCGGGAGGAACACCAGUGGCGAAGGCGGCGACCUGGACAGAUAUUGACGCUGAGGCGCGAGAGCGUGGGGAGCAAACAGG
rnacentral:rRNA from 1 species